GAUGAACGCUGGCGGCGUGCCUAACACAUGCAAGUCGAACGGAGAUUACGGACGGAAGUUUUCGGAUGGAAGACUGUAAUUCUUAGUGGCGGACGGGUGAGUAACGCGUGGGCAACCUGCCCUAUACAGGGGGAUAGCAGCUGGAAACGGCUGGUAAGACCGCAUAAGUCGGUUAAAUCGUAUGAUUUGAUCGGGAAAUGAGCAAUCAGGUAUAGGAUGGGCCCGCGUCCGAUUAGCCAGUUGGCAGGGUAAAAGCCUACCAAAGCGACGAUCGGUAGCCGGACUGAGAGGUCGGACGGCCACAUUGGGACUGAGACACGGCCCAAACUCCUACGGGAGGCAGCAGUGGGGGAUAUUGCACAAUGGAGGAAACUCUGAUGCAGCGACGCCGCGUGAGUGAAGAAGUAUUUCGGUAUGUAAAGCUCUAUCAGCAGGGAAGAUGAUGACGGUACCUGACUAAGAAGCCCCGGCUAACUACGUG
rnacentral:rRNA from 1 species